GAUGAACGCUAGCUACAUGCCUAACACAUGCAAGUCGCGGGGGAGCAUCGGGGCUGCUUGCACCCCCUGAUGUCGACCGUCGGACGGGUGAGUUACGCUCAUCCUACCUGCCCGUCACCACUGCUUAUCCCGGCUAAUGUCUUCCUACUAACGUUUUUUCUCCAUUUACUGCGCCCGAUUUGGACUAAAUGCUUGGUGGGGUAAGAGUCGGGCUGAGUUCGUUUAGCUUGCUGGUGGGGGAACGGCCCACCGCGGAUACGAUCGGUAGGGGGUCCGAGAGGAAGGUCCCCCACACGGGAACUGAGACACGGACCAGACGCCUACGGGAGGCAGCAGUGAGGAAUAUUGGUCAAUGGGCGUAAGCCUGAACCAGCCAAGUAGCGUGCAGGAUGACGGCGCUAUGGGUUGUAAACUGCUUUUAUGCGGGGAUAAAGUGGCCCACGUGUGGGCUUUUGCAGGUACCGCAUGAAUAAGGACCGGCUAAUUCCGUG
rnacentral:rRNA from 1 species